rnacentral:rRNA from 1 species
UACAGAGGUGGCAAGCGUUGUUCGGAAUUACUGGGCGUAAAGGGCGCGUAGGCGGUCCGAUAAGUCCUGUGUGAAAUCCCUCGGCUCAACUGAGGAACUGCACGGGAGACUGUCGGGCUUGAGUUCGGGAGAGGGAAGCGGAAUUCCGGGUGUAGCGGUGAAAUGCGGUAGAUAUCCGGAGGAACACCGGUGGCGAAGGCGGCUUCCUGGACCGACACUGACGCUGAGGCGCGAAAGCUAGGGGAGCAAACAGG